UUCUCGGCGUACCGCUCAGUAACACGUGGGUAACCUGCCCUAUGCUGGAUAAUAACCUCGGGAAACUGAGAAUAAUGAUCCAUAGUUCACUACGCCUGGAACGGUGAGUGGAUGAAAGCUCCGGCGGCAUAGGAUGGGCCUGCGGCGUAUCAGGUUGUAGGGGGUGUAACGUACCCUCUAGCCCUCUACGCGUACGGGUGUUGGGAGACAUAGCCCGGAGAUGGAUUCUGAGACACGAAUCCAGACCCUACGGGGUGCAGCAGGCGCGAAAACUUGGCAAUGAGAGAAAUCGUGACCAGGGAACUCCAAGUGCAUCGGGUAAGACCGGUGCUUUUCUUGACUCUAAAUAGGUCUUGGAAUAAGGGGUGGGUAAGGACGGUGCCAGCCGCCGCGGUAAUACCGGCGCCUCAAGUGGUAGUCGCUUUUAUUGGGCCUAAAACGUCCGUAGCCGGUCUGAUACAUUCGUGGGUAAAUCAACCAGCUCAACUGGUUGAAUUCUGCGAGGACGGUCAGACUUGGGACCGGGAGAGGUGUGGGGUACGCUCAGGGUAGGGGUAAAAUCCUGUCAUCCUGAGCGGACCACCUGUUGCGAAGGCGCCACACUAGAACGGAUCCGACGGUCAGGGACGAAGCCUAGGGGCACGAACCGGAUUAGAUACCCGGGUAGUCCUAGGUGUAAACGCUGUGGACUUGAUGUUGGGGGUGCUCCGAGCACUCUCAGUGUCGAAGCGAAGGUGAUAAGUCCACUGCCUGGGAAGUACGGUCGCAAGGCUGAAACUUAAAGGAAUUGGCGGGGGAGCACCGCAACCUGAGGAUUGUGCGGUUUAAUUGGAUUCAACGCCGGA
rnacentral:rRNA from 1 species